rnacentral:lncRNA from 1 species
UGUCCAAGGUCACUAACUCGCAGACGGGUUGACUGGCGAUGCCCAUUUUUUGAAUACAUACUUUCGUCCAUACUCAGCGCAGCGCGCAGCUCCCGAGGCUGCUACGUGAGCCUUCAGUUCUGUAUUACUACUUAGUUUUAGUUUAAAAUGUAAGUAAACACGCAUUUCAUUCUCGCCAUUGGCUUUCCAGUUCAUUCAGAGGCUUUUUCCAGCUGCUAUCAAGUACUUACUAACCCUCUCCACAAUACUUUGUUGAGCUAGGAGCUUUUAUGGAGAGAUUACCUGUGUACGUGUGUGUGUUUAUAUUGAGUAGGCGGUGUUUACACCUUCUUAGCCUCGUAAAAUUAGAUUGAAGUGUCCUUUAAGCUCGUUAUUUGUCAUCUGCUGUUAAUCUAUUGAGUUUUAUCAGUUUUAAACAGUUUGAUUUUGUUAAAAAUUCAGUGGAAUGUGAUUACCAGUGAAGUCAAUGAUCGUUUGCACUCAACCACUUGUUGAUCUGUUUUAGAAGAACUGUUAGAAUUUCAAGUUAGUGAGGAAGGAAUGCAGCACUCCUGGUCAUGAUUCUGAUUUUGAAUUUCUUGUCAAAGUAGUGGCUGUUUCAAACCAUCUGAAAGAUAUCUAAAUUUGGAUCGACCACAUCAUGAAGCUGGAGUGCGUGGCGCUGGAGGAGGGCGCGGGGGGUGCGGGGGAGUUGGUCCGCGCGUGCGCCCGCUGCCGCGCCGAGCUCGGGCGCAUCAUCAACCGCGGCGCCCUCUGCAAGAUGUGCAAGCUCCGCGUCUGCAAGUCCUGCCGCGAGUACUUCACCGCUGCCACCACUGCGCCCACCGAGUGGCUCUGCACGGCCUGCUACAAGAACAAUGAAUUUCAAAUUGCUGAUUCUGACUGGAUUUCUGAUUAUGUUCGAUGCUCAGCUCCAAGACUUCUUGCAGGGAGCAGAAUAAGUAACAUUCAUAGUAUAAAAAAUUGUGUGCAGCGAUCCUUCACAUUUUCAGAUACAAAACCAUCUCGAUGGGCAGCCUUACGUGGAUCCCCGGAGUUGCGCGCGUACAGCAGCAUGCCUCGCCAUCAGGAUGGUGACUAUGCCCCAUCAGUUUUUAGACGAAGAAACAAAUGCAGCGUGAUCAAAGCAGAAAACGAACAAAUCAAACCCGAGCCGACUGUAGAACAAUGCCCUGUAAAUAUGAAAGAUGAAAAUUCUGUAUUAAAAACAGAUACUCCUUCAACUGCUGAUGACUCUGUGGAAACAAAUGAUGAGAACAGUCCAGUUAACUUCAUCAAAAUCGUGGACUCGUGUGGAUUGGUCCUGGAUAUCCCAGCAGUGGCAACCUCUGACGAGCUCAUCGUGGAUGACUCUGAACCGAGUGUCGCCCAGACCAAUAAUGAGAUCCCACAGCCUUCUGCCAGUACAAAGAUGACUAAGGUCUACCGUAAAAAGUCAACUGGCUCCCUCAAGUCCUCUUUUCUUGAUUCGCUCUCGAAUCGAGUUCAAGAAGUGACGAGAAGAAGGAAAGCAACAGAUUUUCGCAAUCUCCCUCCAGGUGUGACGCCUCCGCGUAGUCGGCGCUUCAAACACCCGGAGGAAGGUGACGCAACACUAGAUCCGGUGGCCCAGGUGUUAUUCCCGGACUCGGACGACUACCGCCUCGUCUUCAUAAGCUCCUCGGACUCCUCGUCGCGCGAGGAGCUGCCCUACGGGUCCGCCUCCGAAGACGAGAAAUCCUCCACCUCCUCCCUGGUCCACCCUUCUCUGGAGGACGGCGACUGGGACUAUUUCGAGGACCCGCCGCCGGGGAGCGCCAUCGGUUCCUUCUCGGCUGCCGCGCCAGAUCGCGCCAGCACCGUCGCGGAGCGCGCCGCGUUUCCCGCCACCGCGCCGGAGUUCAGUUUCGUUUCGAGUCUCCUCUCUUGCGCGUCGCCCGUGCAGCCGCUCGUAGUGCCCGUUCCGAUCCCGAUCCCCAUCCUAGUGCCAGUGCCGUGGAACCCCGAGUUGACCAUCCGCGUCGAGCACGGUGUGUCGCCCGCGCUUCGCACCCUCUUCCAGCAGAACUGGAGCGAGUACGUCCGCGGGUUCGGUGCGGUGACGGGGUCGCCAGCGCCCUCUAGCGGGGGCCCCGCGCAAAGUGCAGUGCAGUGCGAUGAAGGGGUGAGCGGCGGAGAUGCGCCCCCCGUGAGUGACGAGAUGGAUUUGCCGGAUGUGUGCCCCGAACACGACGCGUCGAGGAAGAAGUUCGCCACCCUCCCGCUCAGCGAGCUCCGCUCCGUCGGGGAGAUCCUCUCCAAGAAGCCGGUCGCGGAGGAUCAGACGGACGAUGCCGGGGAGAUAGUCCUCAAGAAAUACCAGGUCAUCGAGGAUGCUGCCGAUCUCAGCCCUGACCCGGUCAGCUUGAACAAUAUUAUCAACAAGCAGCUCACCUCUGAGCUUUCAGUCUCUGACUCGGAUGCUUCUGACAACGAAGAGAAUUCGGUUCAACGAAUAUAUACCCUCCACAAGUCGGCGGAUUCUGAAGAUUCAGAGUCUUCGGCAGAGGAGGACAUCGAAGAAGAGAAGACACAUGAUUUAGUCUCCCUGAGUAAUUUAGAUGCUAGUCCUGGUGUUGAAACUUUAAUGUCAGAUGUUUCGAAUGUCACUGAAAUAAGUCAGGACUCUUUGAAUCCACCAGAACAAACCCAGAUGCCACCUAGUCCAAUAAACAACAAAGUAAAAAGUAGAUCGAAAAUAUCCCCAAAAAUAUCUGCACGGCUGGAUAAAUUUAACCAAGUGGAUCAGUCAGCUGCUGAUAAUAAUGGGAAAAUGACAGUAGCGAAAAAAAUUGAGAAGAGCUUUGUGGCUGGAAUGACAGAAAAGUUGUCAAAAAGUGAUGAAUCAGAGUCAAAAUCUGAAUUGGUUUCUAGAAAUACUUCAAGUAAAAUUUGUGCUACAUCAUCCUCGUCAUCAGACGAGUUUUCUGGCACAGAAUCGAUGGAGUUGAUACCCACUGCAGAGGAUCUGAAAAUGGAAAGGGACUCGGAGGCAGAUAUGAGGAGACUCUCGCCAGUUUUAGAUGCUAAAACUGAACCGUCCUCGGACGAAAGUAUCUGUGAUAAAGAGCCGAAAUGCUCAACCCCAAUCAAAGACCAAAAAAGGGCUGAUCCUGAUGCCUGUAAUAUAUCAGAUGAAAAUAUCGGUGACAGUCCAAGUGGUCGGUUCACAAGUCUUAUCAUGAUAACAAGUGAUCAGGCUGAAAUAGAACCUGAGUUAGAAGACAAGAGUAAUGUUAAUAUUGUAACAAAUAGUAGCACUCAAUUAGUGCAAGAUAAAGUUGAAAAGAAAGAAGAGUUCAAACUCACUCUUAACACAGAACAAGAUGUAGAAAAAACACAGCAUGUGUCACGAUCCAAUUCUGAAAGUGACGCGAAUACUGAUGAAGUUAAAGUAGUGACUGGUGGUGACACGCUGUCAGCUGUGAUUUGUCUAGAAGAAGGGUUAGCGGAUGAUGAUUCGUGGGUAGAGGAAAUCGAUCAUAGUGACACUAACCGAGGUGAUUAUGAUGAAGAUGAUAAUUUUGAUGAUGAUAAUGAUAAUUUUGAUGAUGAUUACGAUCAUUAUGAUGAUGAUGAUGAUGAUGAUGACGACAAGAAUGUUGGUCUGAUGAAAAACAUCUCAGACUUCCAAGGUCACACGGAGGAAGAACUACGAGGCUACCAUCGCUCAGCUAUCGACUUCACCCUUCAUACAAUUCUAGAAGAGAGCUGUGAAGAAGCCAGUGAAGUAGAAGAGUCCAUGAGCAAUACAAAAAAUAAUUUAGAGAAUUACUUCUUUGGUUUUAUUGGAUCUGACGCUCAGUUAGAAAACAGCUCAGGCUCUCUAAAAAGCUUGAUAUUGGAUCCAUUGAUGUAG